GCUAUUUAUUUACUUUUAUUAAACCCAGGUUACAUUCUUGUUAUUUUUUCAACCCAAUUUUUUUGGUUAAAUUAUAACCUCAGUUUGAAGUUGGUUUUAAAAUAACCAAAUUUCUUCAAAAGUUUCGGAAAAGUAUUUAAAUAACUCGUUUUUGACACAAAGUCAUAAAUAAGUUUUUAAAUAACUUCUAGUUUUGUGUUUUAAGGGUUAAAAAAUAACCAAAUUUUGGCUCCAAGUUUGAAGUAAGUAUUUUAAUAACUUUUUUUUUCGCACAAAAAGUUUUUUUUUAAGUUAGAAUUUAACCAAAUCUGAUCCCAAAGUUUUAAGUAAGUAUUUUAAUAACUCUUUUUUUACCCAAAAAGUUAUUUAUAGGUUAUAAAUUAACCAAAUUUUAUCUAUAGUUUGAAACGAGUUUUUAAAUUACUCACUUUAAGAUGGAAGUUGUUUAUUGGUUUAAAAUUAACCCAUUAUAGAACCUAAGUUUAAGGUGAGUUUCUAAUUAACUUCUUUAUUUUUGUCUUUUAUGGGCUAAAAAAUAACCAAAUUUUCAUUACAAGUUUCAAGUAAGUAUUUAAAUAACUCCUUUUUUACACAAAAAGCUAUUUAUAGACUAGAAAUUAACCAAAUUUGACCUUAAGUUUGAAACGAGAUUUUAAAUUACUGACUUUUUACCAUUAAAGUUGUUUAUUGGUUUAAAAUUAACCCAUUAUAAAUCUUAAGUUCAAGGUGAGUUUCUAAUUAACUUCUUUAUUUUUGUCUUUUAUGGGCUAAAAAAUAACCAAAUUUUCAUUACAAGUUUCAAGUAAGUAUUUAAAUAACUCCUUUUUUACGCAAAAAGCUAUUUAUAGACUAGAAAUUAACCAAAUUUGACCUUAAGUUUGAAACGAGAUUUUAAAUUACUGACUUUUUACAAUGAAAGUUGUUUAUUGGUUUAAAAUUAAUCCAUUAUAAAUCCUAAGCUUAAAGUAAGAUUUUAAAUAACUACUAUAAGUACGUAUAAGUUUUUAAUCAACUCGUUAUUUACCUUUUAACAACCCUGGCAAUUUUUCAACUAAGUUCCAACCCAAUUUCAACUAACCAACAACUCUCCACACAUACACAUUCACCAUACUCGAGCGUCGCGCGUCGCCCAUCAUAUUUUUGUCUCUCAUUUUUCUCAGAUCUCUCAGUAUUCUUUUGUGGCUGGUGGUAGCAAGUUAUUGUGCGAGAAAGUUUUUGUGAAAAAAUAUAAAUUAAAUAAAAAAAAAUAUCUGUCUGUGAAAAAUUAUUAAGAGGUAAGUUAUUUGUUUAUAAUUUAUUUUAAAUAUUGUUAUUUGUUUAUAAUUUAUUUUAACCCUUUGCUUCCUAGUGGUUUCAGCAUGAUACCACCUAUUAAUUACUUUGUUAGUUUUUUUUACUACAAAAUGGACUUUUCCUUUUGUACUCUCAGCUCAAAACAUUCCUUAUACAAUGUUAUUACUAGUACAAUCAUUAUUUUUUUCAUUUUAGUGUGUUGUUAGAAAAUAUCAAAACUUUUUUUCAAGAUAUUUGUAUUUUUUUCCGGGAGCGAAGGGUUAAAUAUUAAAUAUUGUUUAAUAAAUAACUUCAGAGUAUAAAAAAUAACUUCUGAGUUUGAAAAAUAUCUUCUGAGUUUGGAAAAUAACUUCUGAGUUUGAAAAAUAUCUUUUGAGUUUGGAAAAUAACUUCUGAGUUUGAAAAAUAUCUUCUGAGUUUAGAAAAUAACUUCUGAGUUUGAAAAAUAUCUUCUGAGUUUAGAAAAUAACUUCUGAGUUUGAAAAAUAUCUUCUGAGUUUAGAAAAUAACUUCUGAGUUUGAAAAAUAUCUUCUGAGUUUGGAAAAUAACUUCUGAGUUUGAAAAAUAACUUGAGAGUAGGCAUACAGAUAACUUAGCGCGUCUUUUCAUUUGUCUUUCUCAUUCCGCGUUAUUAUUCCAAGCUUGACUGUUGAUAAAAUCACUAUAAUAAAAAUGUAUUCUAUCAUUAAAAAUAAAAUUUGUAGUAGAACUACUUUUAAAAGAAAAGUUAAAAAAAUAAUAUUAGAAAUGCGUGAAAAAGAAAGAAUUAAAAAUCUUGAACAAGUUUUUCUUAGCAAGAGGUUAUUUGAAGUGCAGCAACACCUUUCGGAAAAUGAAAUAAGUGCUAAUUGUGAACAAGGUUUUUCUAACACGAAAUUUGAAGAGUUGCAACACCUAUCGAAUAUUAUUUCUGAACAUGAAAGUGACAGUGAAAAUUCUGGAAACAAUUGUGUCGCUGUCUCAACUAAUUUUGAAGCUAUUCCAGAAAAUUUAAAAAAAAACUUAGUAUUAUGGGCUAUUCAGCAUAACAUAUCGAAUAUUUGCUUGCGUGAUUUGCUUAACAUUUUGCAUAAUUCUCAUCCUUAUUUGCCAUUAGACCCUCGAACAUUAUUACAAACUCGCGUUUCCCUUGAGAAAAUUUUUAUCGAAGUUCCACCUGGUAGAUACUGGCAUUUCGGUUUGGUUCGCGCUCUUACUAAGGUUUUUGAAAGUGUUCAGACAUGUCAAACAGUAAUAUUCUUGGACUUUAAUAUUGAUGGGAUUCCUGUUAGCAAAAGUUCAAAGGGCCAAUUUUGGCCUAUUUUGUGUUCACCAGAUGGUUUUCGUGUGCCGCCGCUAGUAAUAGGUGUUUACUACGGAAUGGCAAAACCUUCAAGUGUUAAUGAAUUUCUGCGAUUAUUUCUUGAGGAGGCUGUUAACAUUGAUGAUUUGAACAUUGGUUCCAAAAAAAUAAGUUUUAAAAUCAGGAAUUUCAUCUGUGACGCCCCCGCUCGUUCUUAUUUAAAAGGAAUCAAAGGGCAUAAUGGUUAUUUUGCUUGUGAAAGAUGUAAUGUAGAAGGGGAUUAUAAUUACAAAUCUCACCAAAUGUGUUUUCCAAACCUAUCAAAAUCACUUCGCACGAAUGAUUCUUUCCGGGCUGGGAUACACGAAGAUCAUCAUACGCAACCAUCUCCAUUAGAAAAACUUCCAAUAGAUAUUAUUAUGAAUUUUCCUCUAGAUUACAUGCACUUGUUGUGCUUAGGUGUCAUGAAAAAAUUGUUGGUUACAUGGAUUAAGAAUAGAACCCUUAAAACAAAAUUCUCGGCAAAAAACAUUGAGAGAAUCUCUAAGACCUUAGUAUCACUACGAAAAUAUGUUCCAUGCGACUUCAAUAGAACACCUCGUGGACUUGAUGUGAUAAGCUUUUGGAAGGCCACUGAAUUUCGUAUGUUUUUGUUGUACUUAGGUCCGGUUGUUUUGCAAAAUGAAACUCAUGAAGAAGUAUAUGCCAAUUUUAUGGAACUACACUGUGCUGUUUCAAUAUGUUUGAGUAAAAAUAAACAAGUUUUUGUUGAUGUCGCACAGAGUCUGUUCAAAUCAUUCAUAUAUAACUUUUCUAGUAUCUAUGGAGCUGAAAACAUAAGUUAUAACGUUCACAAUUUAUAUCAUGUCGUAGAUGAUGUUAAAUACCAUGGACCUUUAGAUAAUAUAAGUGCUUUCAAAUAUGAAAAUCGUUUACAAUAUUUAAAACGUCGAAUAAGAUCUGGAAACAGACCCCUGGAACAAAUUGCAAAUAGGAUUAUCGAAGAUUUUGAGAAUGUAGAUCUAAUUGAUGUAGAUGAAAACAAAACUCCUAUGCUUUAUAUGAAAGAUAGGAAUAAAAUAUGCAAAAUUAAACACUGUGUUGGAAUCUAUAGAGCAAUUCAGCUUCAACAUUUUGUUUUGAAGUCGUCACUUGCAGAUAGUUACUUCUUAACAAACUCAGAAGAAAUUGUUAGAAUGGAGUUUGCAACAUAUCGACAUGGCAUCCCAGUUAUCUAUGGUUCAAGCUUAAAACAAAAACAAAAUUUUUACGAAAAACCGUUCUAUUCUAAAUUUUUAAGCGUUUAUAAAUCAAAUGAAGAAGAAAAUUUGCCUAAUUUUUAUAACAUAGAAAAUAUUUCCUCUAAAUUUUUCAAAAUAACUUUACCAAACACUGAAUCUGUUUUUUUUCCAUUAGUACAUUGUUAAUCAAAAUGUAUUGUGUUGUGGAGACGCUCGAAGAUGAAGGGAAGUUCGUGACGGCAGUUCCCAAAAAUUGGGUCAUCGAUGGAACGAAGCUAUUAUGGCCAAAGUCCAAGAAAGAUUCCAUUUGCGGUCGGAAAAAUUGCAUCACAGCAUCGGAUGAUUGGCAAAGCAUAGCAUGCAAAUUAAUAUUUGAUGACAUCGGUAAGAUACAAGUUUAACUACAUCUUUUUUAUUUUAUUUUUAUUAAGUUCACUUAGACCACUUUUCUCCAAGUAAAAUUUUAUUCGUAUCUAAACUUAAAGCAGUUUAUCCUGGGGGCCUAUUUUUGACAGCUUAGUUACGUUAAUUUUGAUACACUUUAGGUCCCCUUUCAUAUACUUAAAGUAAUCGCGGUUAUGGCCUUUCAAUAUUUUUAUAUUUGAAUAACGCUUCAUAAUAUUCUACACAAUGAGAUUUAUUACAGAAAUUAAAGUUUUUUAGACCGGUCUUUCUUAUAUAAACACAUUACAUUGUCAUCGAGUGCAAUUCAGCAUCAGCCAAUUUGCAAAACAAUAUCGCAAAUUUCGCGAAGAACAAUGGCGCCUUAAAACACGACUAGCAGGUGUUUUUGCGAGCGGGUGCAAUAGCAAAACUCACAGCAACCCUUUUUCUCUUCGUUCACGACAGCGUGCGUGAACGAAAAGGCGUCACGGCGCGGCGCCCACGACUACAAUCGACAUGUUGAUCUUGUGUGAUCGAUACAAGAGCAAUAAAACAAUAAAACAUCGACCUUUUUUCACUUCACUUCGUUGACAAAAUCAAUAAGUGUACUGUACAACAAUAAAACAAUAAAACCGCGACCUUUUUUUUACGUCGUCCAAGACAGCGCGCUUGAACAAAGCGCCACCCGCGACCGACGGUCGACUUGUUGUUCUUGUGUGUUCGAUACAAGAUCAAUAAGUGUACAGCGAUAAAACAAUAAAACAGCGACCUUUUUUUCGCGAAGAACAAUGGCGCCUUAAAAAAAAAUUUUCGACCAGCAGGUGUUUUUGCGAGCGGGUGCAAUAACAAAACUCACAGCAACCCUUUUUCGCUUCGUUCACGAGAGCGCGCGUGAACGAAAAGGCGCCACCUACAACAUUUAAAUAUACAUUUUUAAAAAGCUAGAAACUUAGUCAUAUUUGUAAAAUUAAAAUUAAGUUAAUUGAAUUAAGAGCUUUUGAAAGAAUGGUAUCUGAACUCAGAUUUUUGAAAAAAAAAAAUUAUUGAAGAAAUUUUAAGAUGUCGUUUUUUAAACUUUUUCGUAAUAUAAAAUGCAUUUAUUUUCAAAUUUUUCUGACCACAUUUAUUACGAUUUGAAAUUAUAAAAGAAAAUGUCAAUAUGUAUUACGGUUUAUGAAAAAAAUUAAAAAGUAUUUCAUUUUCGAAGAACUUUUUUUAAUAGAAGUUUUGAAAAAAAAUUUUACUUAUUUGUUUUUUAAAGUUCAACAUCUAAAUAUAAAGUCAUUUUUUCUUCAGUCAAUAGCCCUUAUUGUUGAAAGUUAAAUAGCAAAAAUUUAAAGUUCUUAUUUACCAAAGUCUUUGAGAAAAUUAAUUAUUUCAAAGCAAAAAUUCAGUUUUUAUAAAAAAAACCCAUUGAAAUUGAAAUUUUUUUCAAAAACUCUUGAUUAAAUUUAGUGGAUUUAAAUUUAGGAGAUAAGAAUGAGCUUCUGGCUUUUUAAAAAUGUAUUUUAAAAUAUUGUAGGUGUUGCCGUUGUUUUCAAAAUAUUUUUUUUGUGUUUAAAGUCAGAUUAUGAGAAAAUUGCAUUUAUCUCUUAAACGAUGGAAGAUUGUCCCUUACUCCCUUAUAUUUUUUUUCCUUAAAUAACCUAGAGAAUCUUUUGCUAUCAUUUGUUUUAUGAAAUUUAAGAAAAAAAAUGGUUGUGUUCAAAAAAAAUUUAAUUGUAAUUUUAAAAAACAAUACGGUAACAUCGGCAAUUUUUAAUCUAUAGACUUUAAAGCAUUUUUAAUUGCCUACGUUUGAAAAAAAAUCGUCAAAAUCUGAGCUGUUCGGCCGGUCUUAAGCCGCUUCACCUUUUGAACAAAUAUUUUCUUGUAUCCCUUUCAUGCCACUUAUAUUUACGACAAAACAUGUAUUUCCUUUUAAGGUUCCUGGGAGGAAGCAGUUCAGAAGGAAAAGGAUGCCGAGUAUUUGUCUUCUUCUGAAGAAAAUACGGAAGAAGUGACCAUCGACACCAAUUCUUCGGAAUACAUGACAGAUAUGAACAAAUUGAUGUCAACUUUGAUUCCUAAUUCUGACGUUUCCUCGUUCACCCCCCCAAAUGAAGAUGUUACCAUCACUAAUGUCAUUUCCGACUUAUACACGUUUGAAGGUAAAAAAUGUAUUUUAGCACUAGUACAAUUUUCAAAGUCGUUUUUAAACUCCAGCUUAUCUUAGACUGGGGUUUAUCCAAUGUUAUUUGAAUAGGAUAAACCCCAGUCCCUCUUAGUAACAGCUGAGAUAGCAUAUUAGUUCUUUCACUAACCGUAUUACUUUUUUUUGUAUAUUACUAUAACUCUUAUUUUUAAUUGUUUAUAGGCCCCAGCACCAGUACCCAAUUCAAGGAACUGUCGUCCAAAAUAGACGAAAUUUUGGAAAGACAGCGUUCCACUGAGGUGAAGGUGCAGGCCAUGCAAGGAAUGCUGGAGGCAUUCAUGGCGAAGUCCGAAGUUUCGGUCAAUUUGUUGGCGUCCAAAAUUGCAAAAGAGAAUGCAGAGGAAGUGGAUGAGGAACUGCAACUGGAUGAAAUUUUCCCACUUACCUCUGUCCAACAAAUUGAGGAAAUCGAGGAAAAACUCCAUCAAAAUGCAGCAUUCAAAAAAAAAUUGGUAAGUACCAAAAUAUACGAAAUAUGCAAUUUUCUCACAAUCCGACUUCAAACACAAAAAAAAUAUUUAUAAAACAACGGCAACACCUACAAUAUUUUAAAAUACAUUUUUACAAAGCCAGAAGCUUAUCUUAAAUUUAAAUUCACUAAAUUUAAUUAAGAGUUUUUGAAAAAAUGGUCCUCAAACUCAGAAUUAAAAAAAAAAUUUAUUAAAAAAAUUAAAAAUGACUUUUUUCCAAACUUUUUCUAAUAAAUAUUAUCAGUUGAAUUCCGAAGCAGAAAAGGUAAUAUAUAUCACACUUUUGAAAAAACAAUUAAAAAUAACUUCAAUUUCAAUUGGUUUUUUUUUUUGAUAAAAACUGAAUUUUUGCAUCCAAAUAAUUAAUUUUCUAAAAGACUUUGGUAAAUAAGAACUUUAAAUUUUUGCUAUUUAACUUUCAACAGUAAGGGUUAUUAAAUAAAUAAAAAAUAAUUUUAUGUUUAGAUGUUGAACUUUGAAAAAAAAUAAGAUACAUUUUUUUUCAAAACUUUUAUUAAAAAAAGUUCUUCGAAAAUGAAAUUCUUUUUAAUUUUUUUCAUAAACCGUAAUACAUAUUGACAUUUUCUUUUAUAAUUUCAAAUCAUAAUAAAUGCGGCCAAAAAUAUUUGAAAAUAAAUGCAUUUUAUAUUACGAAAAAGUUUAAAAAACGACAUCUUAAAACAUAUUUUUGUUUUCUUUCAGGUCCGUAAGUUGAGCUCCUAUGGGGGGGCCAACGGAAUGAAAACGAUCCGCACUAUUUGCAAGUGCAUUUUUACGGAUCCACUACUGGCAGAACAUUCUUGGCUGGGGACUAAUGCC